UGAGAUAGAAAGAAGGCAUCACCAACCAUAUGGCUCCGAGGGAUCAGAAAGAUGAAGGAUUCGCUGCCUUCGCAAGUUCUGAAUAAGAAGCUGCCACGGUUUUUGCAGAAGUGUGCGCAGACCUUCGAUUCCGAUCGCCGUUACAAAAACGACUUACGGUACCUCCGCGUUUGGUUACGGGGAUGGGAUAAAGGAGGAGGAUGCUUGCGUCAAGACCAUUAGGUGGAAUACUCUCAUGGAAUUGAGCAAUCGGGAUAACUCUUGCAGCUACUAUUGGCUUGCAAGAAGGAAUGGGAGGACCUGCAUUUUUUAUUUUUUUAUUUUAUAGUAGUGGUUUAUCCUAAGAGUUUAGUUUGAUUUGCAUUUUGUUUGCACCCCAUUAAGUUGAAAUGUUCCCUCAAACAUUACUAUCUUAGCUUUAAGAUAAAGAUAGACCUAACAUUAUUAGUUACUAUUGCUAUAUAAUUUUUUUUCAAUGCCCUGUUGUAGUAAUUGUGGAAAUUGUUAACAGAUGAAUAAAAGCAUUUAGAGUGUGCAACAA